AACAAUGAAUGCAGUGUGAGUGUGGAGUCCAGAAUCAGCGCCUGAAAACAACUCCCAUGCUGGUGGAGAGUAGUUGCAUGAUUGUUUCUACAUGACAAGCAAAUUAAGGAACACCAAGUAUCCUCCUUUUAUUAUUUAAACAUCUCCCUAUCUUACUUGGUUGUUGAUAUCUGAAAAAGGAGUAAGAGAUGACAAUGGGAGGAUUAUUACUAUCUCAGAAAGGGAAUGGAAACGGGCAGCAGAGGCCAAGACCCUGUGGGUUGGUGCUGCUUUUGCCUUUUGGCCUUUGGGGUUGCAAUGCUUGCUAUUAUGGCCCUCCACAAGCUCCGCGAGAGACGCAUUUUCAACCUCCUCCUCCAAGAGAACAGCCAUCACCUCAUUUCCCUUCAGCUCCUGCUGCAGGUCUCCCUGCUUUUCUAUCAUAUAUUACAUAAAUAAUUUGUUUUGAGGGUUCUACAUGUGUUGUGUUUUUCAUUACAGAAACAAACAGAAUACACCAAACAACUGAAAGGGAAAGCUGAAGAGACAAAAGCAAAGAUGAACUCUCUUAGAAAGCAGAAAAUGGAGUUGGAUCAUAGGCUCUUGGAAAUGCUAUCUACCAUUGAUUCCCUCAAAGACGAGCAAAAGACCAUGGAGUCUGAACUGGUGGAUAAACAAAACCAGAUCAAACUCCUCCGACAUUCCGGAAACCAAAAUCCUCAGCUCCCAGCUUUAAUAACAACUUUGAAGCAAAAGGAGGAUGAAAUCCAGGACUUGAAUCACCGCCUCAACUCCUCCUCUCUCACUACUCAUCACCCAGCAAAUCCUCCAAUAAAUAUAACAAUUAUGGAGCCAAAGACAGCGUUGACACUUGGCCGUGAGGAUGGUGGAGGUGCUGAUAAUUCUCCAAAAGGUCAGGACAAAACUAAAUUGAGUUAUCCUCAUCAUCAGGAAGACAACAGAGAAUGGGUUGAAAAUGGAGAUGAGAAAAAGGGCGAGACAACAUUGAAAAUGAAAUGAAUUCUAAACAUACAACAAUGUAUAUGGAAAAGAAUCAUGCAAAUGCUACUGCAACAUUUGAGCACAUGUGGAUGAAGGCAAAAACAGGAGUAGUCCCCAACAAGAAGGUGAGCUUCAUAAAAGCAAACCAAGUCAUCAAGGUAGGAACAAACUGGAAACGGAUGAGAGUAGUAAGAUUUCAAGCUUAGCAGAGAGAUUUGGAAAUUUAAGCACAACAAAAGGGAUGAUAUUUGCAAAGAAGAGAUUCCUUGAGAAUGUUGGAAAAUGUUUGAAGAAUGCAAAUUCUGAAAUAGAUGGAGUGGUAAGCACAAGUAGAAUAUUUUCAACAGAAUAUCAAGAUGUAAGAAGCAUGGAAGAGUGGGGCAAACCCAAAACAGGUCUGAGGAAGGAAAUGGAUCUUGCAACAGCUAAUUGUUGAGGCAUCACAACUCUGAGGCAAUGUCCACCAACAAAGAUAACUGCGAGGCAAGACAAGUUUCAGAAAACACUGGUGUCAAUGGAGAAGCCAGUAAUAACACAAAUGAAGUCAAUCAGCAAAAUUUUGAAGCAAGCAAUGAUAACAGCAGGGACUUGGAAGAACAGGAAAAGGAAGUUGCCGAAAGAGAUGAAAUGGAAGAUAUGGAGGUUACAGAUAAACAAGCAGCAACAAAUGGUGACCUUUCCGGUGAUUUUAUGUCUGAUUCACAAGAUAAACAAGGGUACAAGGAAGAAAUGGGCGAGUCUUGAGACUGAGUUUUAGUUAACACCACUUCUCAAGUGUUAUGUCCUAGCUUUUAAGUAUCUUAUUUCAGUAAUUGACUAUCCUUUCUUUAAGCAAUGAAGGAAAUUAUGUUUAGAAUUAGUAAAAAUCUACAUGGUAGUUCAAGUGUUCAUUGUUGUUGGUCUUACUUUCACAAGUAUAUGCCUAAAAAAGUACUUUUCAAUUGUUUGAAACAUUUUUACCUUCUGGUUUCAAACAAACACGAAAAGGAAUACGGAAAUCAUUUUCAGAAAUAAAUGAAACCUGG
rnacentral:lncRNA from 1 species